GUUGGGGAAUUUGGACAAUGGGCGAAAGCCUGAUCCAGCAAUGCCGCGUGUGUGAAGAAGGCCUUCGGGUUGUAAAGCACUUUUGUCCGGAAAGAAAUCCUUGGCUCUAAUACAGUCGGGGGAUGACGGUACCGGAAGAAUAAGCACCGGCUAACUACGUGCCAGCAGCCGCGGUAAUACGUAGGGUGCAAGCGUUAAUCGGAAUUACUGGGCGUAAAGCGUGCGCAGGCGGUUUGCUAAGACCGAUGUGAAAUCCCCGGGCUCAACCUGGGAACUGCAUUGGUGACUGGCAGGCUAGAGUAUGGCAGAGGGGGGUAGAAUUCCACGUGUAGCAGUGAAAUGCGUAGAGAUGUGGAGGAAUACCGAUGGCGAAGGCAGCCCCCUGGGCCAAUACUGACGCUCAUGCACGAAAGCGUGGGGAGCAAACAGGAUUAGAUACCCUGGUAGUCCACGCCCUAAAACGAUGUCAACUAGUUGUUGGGGGAUUCAUUUCCUUAGUAACGUAGCUAACGCGUGAAGUUGACCGCCU
rnacentral:rRNA from 1 species